UUGUUGGUUGGAAAAUAAAAAAGAUUUUGAGAGAGUAAUUUCUUCAAGUUGGGUGGAUACAACAAGAAAAGUUGUUUAUUGGCCAAAUGGUUUGCAUGUAAAACGUGCAUUUGAAAAUUUAGAAACGCCUAAAACUCGAUGGAAACAGUUCUCUCUAAUCAAAGUCAAAAUUAGCGGUACAAAAGAAGACUGUGAAGGCUGCACAGAUUACACGACCACCGAGGAAACAACGGAACCUGUGGAAAUAAUUUCUUCUGAUAAAGGAAAAAUCAUUCCAAAUAUACCUCCAACAUUCCCAACAUGUAAAGUUAUUGCAACUGCCCCACCACCCCAUUUACAAUCCACCCCAGUUAGACCACCACCAUCAAGAUCAAAACACUCACAACUUGGUUUACAUUCAAGAUCGUAUUCAGGGUUAAACUUGCAUUCACGAGCACAUUCACGGUCAAGGUCACAAUUACGGUCUAAGUCUCGUUCACGUUAAAGAUCACGUUAUCA